rnacentral:rRNA from 1 species
GAUUCCCGCCGCGCCCCGCGCCCGAUCCCGCCGCCCCCGCCCGUGCACCAGUCGCGAAACCUCCGCAAUACGCGAAAGCGUGACGGGGUCACCCCGAGUGCCGCCCGCUGAGGGUGGCUUUUCCCCAGUGUAGCCAGCUGGGGGAAUAAGGGGAGGGCAAGUCGGGCGUCG